GCUUCCAUAGCUCAGUUGGUAGUAGCGUCACUUUAGUAAGGUGAAGGUCAUGAGUUCAAAUCUCAUUGGAAGCA